ACACGUGUCAUUUCCAACUUUUCCCCUUCUCUCUUCUUUGUCCAGUGAGAGGAGUGCUCCAGAGACUAUGGUAGAAAAGAGCAAUUUUCUUAUCGAGGUUUGUUCUUUUUUAUUACUUCUCGAUUUUUCCGUUAAUCAACCUAGAGAAAUACAUGGUAUUUUCCCUUUAGUCAACGACCUGCAGAAUUGAGAGUUCUUCCAUCAAAAGAAAUACAAGAUGGUUGCCGAAAAAUUGACAGAAUUUUCUCUUUUGGAAUGGAGAGUGCAACUCUGAUGGAUUUUGAUAGACGAAACUGAGAGGCUUUGAAGAAAGAUGGUGUAGAAGAAGUCAUGUUUGCUUCUGUUUCUUCUAAAAAUAGAGAAGAUAAGAAUUACUUUUUUGAGAAAUUACUGGGUGCUUCCAUUUAUUUGAUUGACAUUGUGCUUACUUCUGUUUUGCUUUCUUUUUCUACCGCAGUACAUUCUUAUAUAAUUUCUGGUCAAUUUAGAUUCUAAUUUGGUUGAUUUGUAGCGGAUUUGGUCAUUUUGUUAACGGGUACUUAUUACUCCUUUUCAAUGUUAAUGAGUUUCCAACGAGAUGUUAAAUUUGUUGUUAAUGAGUAUUUGGUAUCUCUUAUUUUUACUGUUCUUUGGAUGUUCUCUUGGAUUAUGUACAUCUGACUUUUACAUGCAUGUCUGAAAUUUUCCUGCACAGGUGCAGACAUGCUUUGGGCACAUUGAGUUUCCAUCUAGAAAGAAAUAGAGAAGAAACAAGGCGAGAGCUUGAUGCAGCCAACGUGUUUGUCAUUAUGCCUCAAAUAACUUAAGCCAGUUUUGUAUUAUGGUAAAGCUAAGAACUUGAUCAUAUGUUGAGUGCACGAAGAGCUUUAGCUGUUGGAUUUAGCUGGUAGUGAGGGAGUUGCGAAGAAAUGGACUGAAAGAAGCUCUAAUCCAUAUAGGUAAUCACUUAUCUUUGCACUACCUUAGCAAAUAAAAGUAGCCCAAUCUAUAUAGGUAAUCAAUCACUUAUCUUUGCACUAGCUCACUAACUGCAUUACAUUUAAAGCAAUAUGCUAUGCUAUUGCUUUCAGAUUAGCAAGAUUGACUGCUAAGCUACGCACUACAGCUGGUACUCAUAGGAAAUAGUCGACUAGAAGCUAUUAUGUGCUUGAAUACACAAGCAUUAAGUGCACCACGAGGAACAGUUGGGCAAUGAAAAAAAGCAGAUUCACAUUUCUCAAAUUGUUUUCUUUGGAAAGAGCAGCACCGCACCAUGGAGGUCAAAUAUUAUUAGCUUGGUGGCUGUUAAAGAAGUCAACAGAAUCUAACUGGAAAAGAAAAGCGCUGAAGGGCAUUAGGAUCCCCUGUGAGUUCCACCUAUAUGAAGAGAUGCCUGAUUUCACUUGCCAACUUAAGCAUUUUGUUUAUGGCAUCUCAACACAUCGAACAACUGUCAUCUCCAAUGACUCAAGUGCCACAAGCUUUCAGAGUCUACACUAUUCACCCGUCCUACAAUAAGAAGUUGGUUAUUUGUGAUACUAUUUGCAAGUAAAGCACAAAAAUAGUACUUUAAUGAACAACUGAUAUUGUCCUACUGUGCACAAGAUUUAAACAAAAGACUAUUGGUUAUAUGAAUAUAUUUAUUUUCAUUUCUGUGCCGAGCACUAUUAAUAUUACCACCAAGACAAGCUUCACGCCUAACAUGCAUGUUGGGCCCGUGCACGGGAAACCUUGUCAAUAAUCUGUAGCAAGAGAAACACGUGUUUCACGGUUAAUAGUUUUCUAUUUAGCCAUAAAAAAGUUGGUAUCUACAGAAAUACCCUUCGUCGUCCUUCAAAGCUUCACUUAUUAUAUAGUUAAAUGCCUUUGAAGCUACGAGUGAGAGCGUAGAAAAAUCGUGCAGUUAUAAAAGGAAAUAAAACAAGAGAGAAGACUUUAAAACUUAGAAGUGAAAUAAUAAAUACCGAAUCUUGGCUCUUGAUCUCCAAAAUAUAUGCAUACGCGUAUAUAAAAGUAUUACAAAAUAUUUGCAUGUUCAAAACCACAAUACUGAUUUUACUUUUAAAAACGGUAAGUUUGCCUUAUUCCUUUUAGUUUUAUGCUCUAUAUAUGAGGUCUAAUGUUCUUACUUCUAAAUUUUCUUAUUAUUCUUUCACAACUCAUAAUAUAUUUAUUUUUUGACUUUACGUUGUUAAUGUUGUUUCUUUAUUGAUGAUAAGUUUUAUCUAUUGGCAUUAUGUUUCUACUGGAGCGAGAAGCAAACAACAACCCAAGUUCGCGGCAAGAUGCAGGCUGCUGGUUUUCUAGGAUGAUUGUUGCUUCUCAUAUUUUAUUUUCCAAGACAGUGUAACUAGGGGAGAUACAGCUGAUGUGGGCUACACAAAAUGUAGUCACCUCAAGUUUGAAUAGAGAAUAGGGAUUGCGACAGUUCGCCAGAUCGCAACAAACGAAGUGCUAUGUAAAAGACCAAGCUCUAGGUGCGAAGGUUGGUAUGUGCAAGUCUGCAAUUGCACCUUAAUAUAUGAUCAAAAUAUUGUUCGAGUGUCGACGUAGUACUAUUUUUGAGAUGGAAAAUAAUUCAUUCAACAUAUAUUUCAUUCUUUUAGACAGUAGUAGAGGCGGAGUUGAUGGAGAUGUGUGCAUAUGUAUUGACUUUCUACACUGUGUUAUUUUGCACCUGUUAGUCUGGUGCAAAAUGUCUCUGAUUUUUUUUUUUUUUUUUUGCUUAUUUGAAACCUUUUAAGUCAUCUUAAAAAUUUGUAAUUUACAUUUAUAUGACAAAGUCAUAGUAUCAUCUAGAUAUUACCUUAA